UACGUAGGGUGCAAGCGUUGUCCGGAUUCAUUGGGCGUAAAGCGCGCGCAGGCGGCCAGGCAAGUCGGGUGUGAAAAUCCGAGGCUCAACCUCGGACCUGCACCCGAAACUGCUUGGCUAGAGGUAGGUAGGGGAGAUCGGAAUUCCUGGUGUAGCGGUGAAAUGCGUAGAUAUCGAGAGGAACACCUGCGGCGAAGGCGGGUUGCUGGGCUGACACUGACGCUGAGGCGCGAAAGCUAGGGGAGCGAACGGG
rnacentral:rRNA from 1 species